ACGCGUUGGGAGCUCUCCCAUAUGGUCGACCUGCAGGCGGCCGCGAAUUCACUAGUGAUUCGUAUUACCGCGGCUGCUGGCACAGAGUUAGCCGGUGCUUAUUCUGUCGGUAACGUCAAAACAGCAAAGUAUUAAUUUACUGCCCUUCCUCCCAACUUAAAGUGCUUUACAAUCCGAAGACCUUCUUCACACACGUGGCAUGGCUGGAUCAGGCUUUCGCCCAUUGUCCAAUAUUCCCCACUGCUGCCUCCCGUAGGAGUCUGGACCGUGUCUCAGUUCCAGUGUGACUGAUCAUCCUCUCAGACCAGUUACGGAUCGUCGCCUUGGUGAGCCAUUACCCCACCAACUAGCUAAUCCGACCUAGGCUCAUCUGAUAGCGCAAGGCCCGAAGGUCCCCUGCUUUCUCCCGUAGGACGUAUGCGGUAUUAGCGUCCGUUUCCGAACGUUAUCCCCCACUACCAGGCAGAUUCCUAGGCAUUACUCACCCGUCCGCCGCUCUCAAGAGAAGCAAGCUUCUCUCUACCGCUCGACUUGCAUGUGUUAGGCCUGCCCCCAGCGUUCAAUCUGAGCCAUGAUCAAACUCUAAUCGAAUUCCCGCGGCCGCCAUGGCGGCCGGGAGCAUGCGACG
rnacentral:rRNA from 1 species